rnacentral:rRNA from 1 species
CCUACGGGAGGCAGCAGUAGGGAAUUUUCCACAAUGGACGAAAGUCUGAUGGAGCAACGCCGCGUGAGUGAAGAAGGGUUUCUGCUCGUAAAGCUCUGUUGGUAGUGAAGAAAGAUAGAGGUAGUAACUGGCCUUUAUUUGACGGUAAUUACUUAGAAAGGCACGGCUAACUACGUGCCAGCAGCCGCGGUAAUACGUAGGUGGCAAGCGUUGUCCGGAUUUUUUGGGAGUAAAGGGAGUGCAGGCGGUUAAAUAAGUCUGAUGGGAAAGCCUUCGGCUCAACCGGAGAAUUGCAUCAGAAACUGUUGAACUUGAGUGCAGAAGAGGAGAGCGGAACGCGAUGUGUAGCGGUGGAAUGCGUAGAUAUAUGGAAGAACACCGAUGGCGAAGGCGGCUCUCUGGUCUGCAACUGACGCUGAGGCUCGAAAGCAUGGGUAGCGAACAGGAUUAGAUACCCCUGUAGUC